GAAUACUGAGUUGCUUCUUCUGCUCUCAUGUCUUGGAAAUCCUCAAGGAUACUAGUGGAGAACACAACCCUGAUCCAUCUACAGGAAGUAUGAGCUUUCAAGACAUUGAAAAGCAGUGCUUUCAAACUGGAGAAAUCACAGGCUACUCUCUUAACCAACUGGACCAGGACAUUAAUUUGCUAUUGGACAAAAGGCAAACCAUUUGAUUUCUGAACAUUUCAGUUUCCUUUCCUAUAAACUGAGAUAUCAAAGAAAAUUAACGACAUUUUGCUGAAACUUAAUGCAAAUGUGUUGUGGUCAGCUACAUUUUCAACAUCAAGUCUGGAUGGCUAAUUUGAACAAUGCCCUUAAUCAAAGGACACUUAACUGAGAAGAAAUAUUGUCGAAGAACCUUAAGGGCCAUAUAAAUACUGGAAGGUUGCUGUGUGUCCUGGCUGGACAGGAGAGCAAAGCAGAAACCCACAGCAAGGCAGUACAGAGAAGGAAGCUUUUAGGCUGAGCAACCAUGGCAGGGAAGCUCUUGGGCCAGUUGUCCCAAGUAUGGUAGUCACAUCUUGGUGAGAUGAUGGGAUGCUGCAUUGCACCUACUGUCAAAGUAUUUAUUCAGUGUCUGAACAUCACUAGACCCCAAGAAGUACACACAACUGGUAAUGAUAUAAGGCAAGCCAGCUGGGCAGUAACGGAAUGCUGCUCCUAGCCAAGUUCAUGAACCAAGUAAACAACUUCACAGUAUACCAGUUUCAGAAUAAUUUGGGCAUAGCAGGUAUUGAGCAUUCUAAACAAAGGAAUGUUAUUUAUGUAUUCAUGAGUCUACCACAUGAAAAAAGAAAGUAUCAAAUGUAGUUCCUUCUUUGGGAUUUAAGAAAAAGAUUUGAAAAGAGAAAAUUCAAAUGACCUAGGACUUCUGUAGCUUAAAACUAAAGAGAUAGUUGCUGAGGAAAAAUAAGAACAUCACAAAAUCACAGAUAUAGAAAGGUCUCUGGCAUCCAGCAUCCAGCCUCCAAACAAGACUCAAGAGCCAUAAUACUUUUCAAGACCACCAGAAGCACCACACUCACUUCUGAUAGUACAACCCCAGUAUCUUUUUAAUCAAAAGGGACUUAGGUUUAAUUUACUUUAUUAAUUUACCUUGCUUCUGCAGGGAACUAAGAUACAAUAGUGGUUAAGAGCAUUGGUUUAAAAAGAAAGAAGAGAAUAUAGCCAGACUUGAGUUCAAAUCCCCUAACUAUACAAGUUAGCACAAGCUAUACUCUAAUUGACCUUAAAGAGUCAAGUGCAAGUAACUUGACUCUUUAAGCCUCAGUUUCCCCCUCUGUAAAAUCAAGAUAACAAUAUUUAGCUGUCGGUGUUGUAGUAUGUCAAGCACAUGGUAAGUGUUCAAAACUGAUAGAUAUUAUUAUUAAUAUUUAAUCCUAUUAAAUAUUCUGGUCACUGU